rnacentral:rRNA from 1 species
CGGGAGGCAGCAGUGAGGAAUAUUGGACAAUGGACGAAAGUCUGAUCCAGCUAUGCCGCGUGCAGGAUGACGGCCCUAUGGGUUGUAAACUGCUUUUAUACAGGAAGAAAAAAUCCGACGUGUCGGAUCUUGACGGUACUGUAAGAAUAAGGAUCGGCUAACUCCGUGCCAGCAGCCGCGGUAAUACGGAGGAUCCAAGCGUUAUCCGGAAUCAUUGGGUUUAAAGGGUCCGCAGGCGGUUUUUUAAGUCAGAGGUGAAAUCCUACAGCUCAACUGUAGAAUUGCCUUUGAUACUGAAAGACUUGAGUUAUUGUGAAGUGGUUAGAAUGUGUGGUGUAGCGGUGAAAUGCAUAGAUAUCACACAGAAUACCAAUUGCGAAGGCAGAUCACUAACAAUAUACUGACGCUCAGGGACGAAAGCGUGGGUAGCGAACAGGAUUAGAUACCCUGGUAGUCCACGCCGUAAACGAUGGAUACUAGCUGUAUGUCUACCUCAGGUAGAUGUGUGGCCAAGCGAAAGUGAUAAGUAUCCCACCUGGGGAGUACGAUCGCAAGAUUGAAACUCAAAGGAAUUGACGGGGGCCCGCACAAGCGGUGGAGCAUGUGGUUUAAUUCGAUGAUACGCGAGGAACCUUACCAGGGCUUAAAUGUAACGGGACAGAUCUAGAGAUAGAUCCUUCUUCGGACUCAUUACAAGGUGCUGCAUGGUUGUCGUCAGCUCGUGCCGUGAGGUGUCAGGUUAAGUCCUAUAACGAGCGCAACCCCCAUCGUUAGUUGCCAACGAGUAAUGUCGGGAACUCUAACGAAACUGCCGGUGCAAACCGUGAGGAAGGUGGGGAUGACGUCAAAUCAUCACGGCCCUUACGUCCUGAGCUACACACGUGCUACAAUGGUCGGUACAGAGAGCAGCCACUACGCGAGUAGGAGCAAAUCUUCAAAGCCGAUCUCAGU